rnacentral:rRNA from 1 species
AAAUUGAAGAGUUUGAUCAUGGCUCAGAUUGAACGCUGGCGGCAGGCCUAACACAUGCAAGUCGAGCGGUAGCACAGAGAGCUUGCUCUCGGGUGACGAGCGGCGGACGGGUGAGUAAUGUCUGGGAAACUGCCUGAUGGAGGGGGAUAACUACUGGAAACGGUAGCUAAUACCGCAUAAUGUCGCAAGACCAAAGUGGGGGACCUUCGGGCCUCAUGCCAUCAGAUGUGCCCAGAUGGGAUUAGCUAGUAGGUGGGGUAACGGCUCACCUAGGCGACGAUCCCUAGCUGGUCUGAGAGGAUGACCAGCCACACUGGAACUGAGACACGGUCCAGACUCCUACGGGAGGCAGCAGUGGGGAAUAUUGCACAAUGGGCGCAAGCCUGAUGCAGCCAUGCCGCGUGUGUGAAGAAGGCCUUCGGGUUGUAAAGCACUUUCAGCGGGGAGGAAGGCGUUAAGGUUAAUAACCUUG